ACUCGGGGAUGCAGACACAAACGAACGUAGUCAUAUCCUACGUAAUGGAGCCAAAUGUGUCAAUUUCUUAUCUUAAAAUGCAGAGUUUGUUAGAUAUGUAUCAGAAUUUUCACUAAUGCAAAUGAAUGCUGUCAAACCGUAUGCUACAGAACAAUGUGAAGAAUCUAAAACUAAACUUCACGAACAGAGUUAAGAAAACAGUCAAUGAGUACUGAAAAUAGCAAAGAACUUAAACAAUUGAAAAAAUGUUACCGGGUCUUUGAAUUGCCGAUUUA